UACGUAGGGUGCAAGCGUUGUCCGGAAUUAUUGGGCGUAAAGGGCUCGUAGGCGGUCCAUCGCGUCGGGAGUGAAAAGCUGGGGCUUAACCCCAGUCCUGCUUCCGAUACGGGUGGACUAGAGGUAGGUAGGGGAGAACGGAAUUCCUGGUGUAGCGGUGAAAUGCGCAGAUAUCAGGAAGAACACCCGUGGCGAAGGCGGUUCUCUGGGACGGUACUGACGCUGAGACGCGAAAGCGUGGGGAGCGAACAGG
rnacentral:rRNA from 1 species